GUGGAAUGAACUUUUAGGCAGCAAAGC
rnacentral:piRNA from 1 species